rnacentral:rRNA from 1 species
CCUACGGGUGGCAGCAGUGGGGAAUAUUGGGCAAUGGGCGCAAGCCUGACCCAGCAACGCCGCGUGAAGGAAGAAGGCUUUCGGGUUGUAAACUUCUUUUGUCAGGGAAGAGUAGAAGACGGUACCUGACGAAUAAGCCACGGCUAACUACGUGCCAGCAGCCGCGGUAAUACGUAGGUGGCAAGCGUUGUCCGAAUUUAUUGGGUGAAAAGGGCGUGUAGCCGGGUUGACAAGUCAGAUGUGAAAUCCUGCGGCUUAACCGCAGAACUGCAUUUGAAACUGUUGAUCUUGGGUAUUGAGAGGCAGACGGAAUUCCUAGUGUAGCGGUGAAAUGCGUAGAUAUUAGGAGGAACACCAGUGGCGAAGGCGGUCUGCUGGACAGCAACUGACGGUGAGGCGCGAAAGCGUGGGGAGCAAACAGGAUUAGAUACCCGGGUAGUC